rnacentral:rRNA from 1 species
AGAGUUUGAUCCUGGCUCAGAGCGAACGCUGGCGGCAGGCUUAACACAUGCAAGUCGAGCGGGCAUAGCAAUAUGUCAGCGGCAGACGGGUGAGUAACGCGUGGGAACAUACCUUUUGGUUCGGAACAACACAGGGAAACUUGUGCUAAUACCGGUAAGCCCUUACGGGGAAAGAUUUAUCGCCGAAAGAUUGGCCCGCGUCUGAUUAGCUAGUUGGUGAGGUAACGGCUCACCAAGGCGACGAUCAGUAGCUGGUCUGAGAGGAUGAUCAGCCACAUUGGGACUGAGACACGGCCCAAACUCCUACGGGAGGCAGCAGUGGGGAAUAUUGGACAAUGGGCGCAAGCCUGAUCCAGCCAUGCCGCGUGAGUGAUGAAGGCCCUAGGGUUGUAAAGCUCUUUUGUGCGGGAAGAUAAUGACGGUACCGCAAGAAUAAGCCCCGGCUAACUUCGUGCCAGCAGCCGCGGUAAUACGAAGGGGGCUAGCGUUGCUCGGAAUCACUGGGCGUAAAGGGUGCGUAGGCGGGUCUUUAAGUCAGAGGUGAAAUCCUGGAGCUCAACUCCAGAACUGCCUUUGAUACUGAGGAUCUUGAGUUCGGGAGAGGUGAGUGGAACUGCGAGUGUAGAGGUGAAAUUCGUAGAUAUUCGCAAGAACACCAGUGGCGAAGGCGGCUCACUGGCCCGAUACUGACGCUGAGGCACGAAAGCGUGGGGAGCAAACAGGAUUAGAUACCCUGGUAGUCCACGCCGUAGACGAUGAAUGCCAGCCGUUAGUGGGUUUACUCACUAGUGGCGCAGCUAACGCUUUAAGCAUUCCGCCUGGGGAGUACGGUCGCAGGAUUAAAACUCAAAGGAAUUGACGG